GAUGAACGCUGGCGGCGUGCCUAAUACAUGCAAGUCGAGCGAACAGACGAGGCGCUUGCUCCUCUGACGUUAGCGGCGGACGGGUGAGUCACACGUGGAUAACCUACCUAUAAGACUGGGAUAACUUCGGGAAACCGGAGCUAAUACCGGAUAAUAUAUUGAACCGCAUGGUUCAAUAGUGAAAGACGGUUUUGCUGUCACUUAUAGAUGGCUCCGCGCCGCAUGAGCUAGUUGGUAAGGUAACGGCUUACCCAGGCAACGAUGCGUAGCCGACCUGAGAGGGUGGUCGGCCACACGGGAACUGAGACACGGUCCAGACUCCUACGGGAGGCAGCAGUAGGGAAUCUUCCGCAAUGGGGGAGAGCCUGACGGAGCAACGCCGCGUGAGUGAUGAAGGUCUUCGGAUCGUAAAACUCUGUUAUUAGGGAAGAACAAAUGUGUAAGUAACUAUGCACGUCUUGACGGUACCUAAUCAGAAAGCCACGGCUAACUACGUG
rnacentral:rRNA from 1 species